rnacentral:lncRNA from 1 species
CAUCAUUCCAAAGAACACAGUUCCACUGCUUCACAACUCAAUACUAGGGGCUUUAUACCCCCUAUAUGUAGUGUUUUAGUAUCAUAAACAAGAGGUCUCUGUCUCGUCUCAGAUUCAACCUUGUUUGGUAUCGAUCUUGUCUCAGUUUCUGGGUGAGGUGGACUUAAAGACUGUGGACGGGACCGGCUGAGAUAAGUAAAGAUUUGUGCUAGAUGUGGAGCACUGCUGUGAGAGUUUUAAUGAGAAGCAGCCGGUUAAAGUGCUGGAGGGAGCUUUCCAUAAGGAGCCAGAGUUCUAUAGCAUGAUUUGCACGGGAUAAAAACAUCUCAGGAUAACUGAUUGAAAUGGGAGUGGCUAUCCACUGCUGCCAACUCCUAAAAUCAACCCCAAAUUUACACAGCCAAUUAGCCAACCCAUUCAUUAG